GAUGAACGCUGGCGGCGUGCCUAAUACAUGCAAGUCGAGCGAACGGACGAGAAGCUUGCUUCUCUGAUGUUAGCGGCGGCCGGGUGAGUAACACGUGGAUAACCUCCCUAUAAGACUGGGAUAACUUCGGGAAACCGUAGCUAAUACCGGAUAAUAUUUUGAACCGCAUGGUUCAAAAGUGAAAGACGGUCUUGCUGUCACUUAUAGAUGGAUCCGCGCUGCAUUAGAUAGUUGGUAAGGUAACGGCUUACCAAGGCAACGAUGCAUAGCCGACCUGAGAGGGUGAUCGGCCACACUGGAACUAAGACACGGUCCAGACUCCUACGGGAGGCAGCAGUAGGGAAGCUUCCGCAAUGGGCGAAAGCCUGACGGAGCAACGCCGCGUGAGUGAUGAAGGUCUUCGGAUCGUAAAACUCUGUUAUUAGGGAAGAACAUAUGUGUAAGUAACUGUGCACAUCUUGACGGUACCUAAUCAGAAAGCCACGGCUAACUACGUG
rnacentral:rRNA from 1 species